rnacentral:rRNA from 1 species
UACAGACGGUCCAAACGUUAUUCGGAAUCACUGGGCUUAAAGAGUUCGUAGGCGGUCAGGAAAGUGGGGUGUGAAAGCCCUCGGCUUAACCGAGGAAUUGCGCUCCAAACUCCCUGACUUGAGGAGGCUAGAGGUAGGCGGAACUGAUGGUGGAGCGGUGAAAUGCGUUGAUAUCAUCAGGAACACCGGAGGCGAAGGCGGCUUACUGGGGCGUUUCUGACGCUGAGGAACGAAAGCUAGGGGAGCGAACGGG